CUACGAUUCAGUGAUUCAUGGCCGCAUGGGCCCUUGGAGGCUUGGACACCCCAUCACCCGUUUCCGGAUAGGAGAGCCACACUGCGCCACCCAAAUUUCUGACGGCCAAACCAAAUUAUAGUUUCCACUUAAAAAAUUCUAAGCGACACUCACAAUUCCCUUUUGACAACAAAAACGAUGAAAGAAAACAAAGAGAGAACUAAACAAGUGGUGGCGAUGUGGACUUUAUCCCUGCAGGGUGAACGUAGGGAUGGGAUAGUUUUCUGAGCUGAAAGGAAGCCCCUAGGAGGACACUGAGCGCUGCAGUAAUUCGUGAAGCACCUCGUGUCCUCGUCAGUGCUACAGCCGGAGCCCUGGAGAGGUAAAUUAUUCCUGUUCUCUUCAAGCUUAACCUAAUGGACUCACUAACUGAAACGCCAUCACACUCCGCGCAGAUAGUAGGAGAACACUGAGCGCUGCCCUAGCAGCAAGAACAAAGAGGAGGGGUGAAGGGCGUGGGGGUUUCCGUUUACGUACACGCCGAAGGUGCCGGCGACGCGGUCGUUGGCGGAGCGGACGGCGGCCUCGAUGUCGAUCCCGAAGCCAUCGCCCGCGUCCUCGGCGGAGCGGGCGGCGGCGUAGGAGUUCCACUCCGCGAGCAGCGACGGCUGGGAGGAGGAGGACGCCGCCGAGGAGGAGGGCCCGGAGCCGGAGGAGAACCACUGCAUCUCGGGCCCACGACGCCAGAGAGGACGAGAGAGAGGGAGGGAGAGAAGAAGUGCACGGGAGAAAGAAGAUGCGGGUUGCAAAACCUUGUAAAACCAGCGAGCGAGGCUGCAGCUUGAUUCCUCAAGAAAGUCGUUUCUUUUUUUAAUUAGUACUCCUCUAUACGAAUCUAUCUAUCUAGCCUUAUAAGAACUGAAAAAAAAAUUGCCUUUGGUUUCUUGCAGUCAAAUGUAUGUAAGUUGACAGGUGACAUA